rnacentral:rRNA from 1 species
CCUACGGGCGGCAGCAGUGAGGAAUAUUGGUCAAUGGGCGCAAGCCUGAACCAGCCAAGUCGCGUGAGGGAAGACGGCCCUACGGGUUGUAAACUUCUUUUGCCGGGGAGCAAGCCUGAGCACGUGUGCCCAGGCGGAGAGUACCCGGAGAAAAAGCAUCGGCUAACUCCGUGCCAGCAGCCGCGGUAAUACGGAGGAUGCGAGCGUUAGCCGGAUUUAUUGGGUGUAAAGGGCGUGCAGCCGGGCGGACAAGUAAGAUGUGAAAUCCGCGGGCGUAACCCGCGAAUUGCAUUUGAAACUAUAGGUCUUGAGUGCCGGAGAGGUAAUCGGAAUUCCUUGUGUAGCGGUGAAAUGCGUAGAUAUAAGGAAGAACACCAGUGGCGAAGGCGGAUUACUGGACGGUAACUGACGGUGAGGCGCGAAAGCGUGGGGAGCAAACAGGAUUAGAUACCCUUGUAGUC